AUCCAGCUGACGAGUCCUAAAUAUAACGAAACGCGAGUACUGGGU
rnacentral:hammerhead_ribozyme from 1 species